GCGGUUCAUCGUGUCAGAGGUGAAAUCCCCAGGCUUAACUUGGGGGCGGCCAUGGAAACUGUUUUUCUGGAGUGUGGCAGAGGGGGGUGGAUUCCCACGUGUACGGUGAAAUGCGUAGAGAUGCGGAGGAACACCGAUGGCGAAGGCAACUUUCUGGACUACCACUGACGCUCAGGCACGAAAGCGUGAGGAGCAAACAGGAUUAGAUACCCUGGUAGUCCACGCCCUAAACCAUGUCUACUAGGUGUUCGAGAUAUCAUUUCCUUCUGUGCCGGAGUUAACAUGAAAUUUAUCCCCCGGGGAGAACAGCGCCGCGGUGAAAACUCUCAGGAGUUUUGAGGGACCCCCACACACGCUGUAUAAUGUGUAUUUUUUUUAUGCACCACGCACAAACUUAUCUACCGUUUAGAUGUGCAAGAGACUGCUGA
rnacentral:rRNA from 1 species